rnacentral:lncRNA from 1 species
AAAGAAUUUUCUCUCCACUGUUUCAAAAUAACAAGCUUUUAAAAAGACUGCCAUAAAUUGAUAUUAGAAAAAGUAGAAAAGAAUAAUUACCGGUCUGUGUCUUUGAUUUUGAGUAAUAUCGAUUUAAAAUUUGGCGGGAAAUGGUUCUCUGUAGAAGUUUCACACAUUUAACUUUUAACAUUGGCACCUUUUUCUUUCAAAAACUAUAUAUAAAAAAA